rnacentral:rRNA from 1 species
GACGAACGCUGGCGGCCUGCCUAAUACAUGCAAGUCGAGCGGAGCGGCGGACGGGUGAGUAAUGCCUAGGAAUCUGCCUGGUAGCGGGGGAUAACGUCCGGAAACGGGCGCUAAUACCGCUUACUAUCAGAUGAGCCUAGUGCGGAUUAGCUAGUUGGUGGGGUAAAGGCCUACCAAGGCGACGAUCCGUAACUGGUCUGAGCGGAUGAUCAGUCACACUGGAACUGAGACACGGUCCAGACUCCUACGGGAGGCAGCAGUGGGGAAUAUUGAACAAUGGGCGCAAGCCUGAUCCAGCCAUGCCGCGGGUAUGAAGAAGGUCUUCGGAUUGUAAAGCACUUUAAGUUGGGAGGCGUUACCAACAGAAUAAGCACCGGCUAACUUCGUGCCAGCAGCCGCGGUAAUUC